CCGAGUGCGGGCCCUCGCGCCCAACCUCCCAACCCUUUGUCGAUUCAUAAUCGUUGCCUCGGGGGGCGACCCGGACCUGCUUCGGCACCCGGGAGUCCCCCAGAGGUCCAACCCAACACACUGCGUCUUUGCGUCGGAGUAUUGAAAACAAUCAAUCA
rnacentral:misc_RNA from 1 species